GAUGAACGCUGGCGGCGUGCCUAAUACAUGCAAGUCGAGCGAAUGGAUUAAGAGCUUGCUCUUAUGAAGUUAGCGGCGGACGGGUGAGUAACACGUGGGUAACCUGCCCAUAAGACUGGGAUAACUCCGGGAAACCGGGGCUAAUACCGGAUAACCUUUUGAACCGCAGGGUUCGAAAUUGAAAGGCGGCUUCGGCUGUUACUUAUGGAUGGACCCGGGUCGCAUUAGCUAGUUGGUGAGGUAACGGCUAACCAAGGCAACGAUGCGUAGCCGACCUGAGAGGGUGAUCGGCCACACUGGGACUGAGACACGGCCCAGACUCCUACGGGAGGCAGCAGUAGGGAAUCUUCCGCAAUGGACGAAAGUCUGACGGAGCAACGCCGCGUGAGUGAUGAAGGCUUUCGGGUCGUAAAACUCUGUUGUUAGGGAAGAACAAGUGCUAGUUGAAUAAGCUGGCACCUUGACGGUACCUAACCAGAAAGCCACGGCUAACUACGUGCCAGCAGCCGCGGUAA
rnacentral:rRNA from 1 species